UAUGUGGCCUGAAACAGAAUGGCUAAACCAUAAAAUGUACUUAUUAUUUUUACUAUCAGUUUUGUUUCAUGAGAUAUAGUCUAUGAGUGACCACGUAAGUCUCAGAAGCUCACUUUCUCAUUUUCAAAGUAGAGCAUUAACAAAAUUUUCAAAUAUUUUCUUCUUUGGUGGUAGAGCAUAGUUAGUAGUUGCUCUCACCAUUUAAAGUCUCCCAACACUGAAAAACAAUUAUUAAGAGUUCUCUUUUCCAAAGUAAGUAAACAAUCUCAAGUCUUUAACCCUCAGGGCUAACAUUUUUCAUUUUAUUCUGAGUCAGACCCUGGCCUCAUGAAGAGGACAAGAGCUGGUUCUGCUGUUAUUGAUGAAUACAAUCAAACACACAAUUCCCAAAUUACUAUGUCUUCUUUGCCUUGUGGAUGGGCUAAGAUGAACUGACUUUCUAGCUGCUUUAAGGUAGCAGGUGUCUCAUUAAUGUUAACCCAGAGAAAAAGCUUUGUGAAAGUAUUUGAAACAUUAAGAUUAAAGCUUUAAUGUGGAGAACUCUCCUGCACUUGAAGAGGGCCAAAAGUCAUCAAUCAUCAUUAUGGUUAGAAUAUUCAGAGACAAAAGAAGCAGACUCAAGAUGUACCCUGGGGAAUCCAUACAUGUGGAAAAAGGAAUGAGCAACAGACAGCAAGGCAAAUCCAGAGAAGAGUUUAAAGGACUUAAUAUAAAACUAGAAUAUUUUGCGUGUAAUUUUGGUGCAGUGUGGCCUGCCUGAAGCUCGCCUUCAGAUUAAGAAACUUUGCCCUGAGAAGAGCUAAUAGGUUUUCCCCUCCUCAGUGUGGACCCUUCAAGGCAGAGUUCUCCUGUGCAUAAAAGGUAAAAUGAAGUUCUCAAGGACACAGAAUAAAUGAUCCCAGUAGGGGUUAUUAAUGGUCCUA
rnacentral:lncRNA from 12 species